GUUUCUCAAGCUAAAUCAGCUGGUCGACUUUGAUAUGACCAACAAAAGUAAACAUUGAUGAGGAGUUGUUUGAAACAAAAGCAACAAAUCAAGAGUGAAUCAGCAAGAAAAUCCUCCAUUGCAGAAACUACCAGAGAAUUUGGAUUCCACAAAAUUCCCUGUACAGAAAAUUGCAAAUUUCAAAAUCUCCAGCUGAGAAAGCAUUUGGCUUGAGAAACUGAAACAAAUCCCCAAAACGGAACAAGGUCCUUAAGGGCAAACUUGCUCCACCAACAAAGAAAAUCUAUUGUCUGGAAGCUGUGCAGGUUAAGGUUUUUGGAUCAGCAAGCCAGACAUUCCAGAAAAAUCUAUUGACCUCCCUACUUUGAGCUCAAGACAACAUCUCCAUUCAUAGAUUUAGCUAGCUCUUUGGCUUUUUCAUCAUUAAAACCUAGGGUUGCCAAAAUCUUGUGACCUGCGGAUUCCGUUUCUGACCAAAUCCCUAGAAGUAUAUGAGUAGUGGUUAUUUCUCCAUCAUCACCUGACUUUAGUUUCUCAUCGACAGCCCAAUCAAGGGCUCUUUGAGCCUGUUCAGUCAAUGGGGGAUGCUCAGGGCUGAAAAAAUAGAGGUCAGAUUUCCCAAGUAAGUUCACAGUUUCUUCUCGGGCCUUGAAAAAAGUGAUCCCAUUAGCCCUUAGAAACUUUGCAGCUGGACUUGUUCCCUCAAUCAGAAUCCCCAUUAGAAGCGCUUCAGUUCCAGUAUUUGGAUACUUGAGCUUCCUAGCCUCCAAUUCCCCCAUACCAAACGACCUUAUCGCCCUCGCGGACCAUUUUGGGAUCUUCUCUGAAGGGUGUUUCUUUGUCGGGAGACUUGACAACACUGUGGCAAGCGUCGAGCCAUGACACUUGAGGACGAAAUUGCUCAAAUUGGAUUUUCUAAUAACUAUCUUAUUACCGUAAAACGAACUCAAAGGAAGGAGCAAUGAAGAGUGCUGCGGUUUUUCGUUGCAAAUUUGGGAGGUGGAGAGUGAAAUUGGGAGAAAUGAGAAAGUGUGACUAGCCAUUAGCAAGUAUCCCGAGGCUUUGAUCAGAUAGUGAUUUGGGUUUUUACGGUAUUGGCUUUAUGGGUGGAUUUGGUGUUGUUGGUGCCUGCCUCUGCACUCAUGGACUGUGACACCCUUUUCUUUGCGCUUGCGUUGAAGCAGAAGCUACAGCAACG
rnacentral:misc_RNA from 1 species